GACGAACGCUGGCGGCGUGCCUAAUACAUGCAAGUAGAACGCUGAAGGAGGAGCUUGCUUCUCUGGAUGAGUUGCGAACGGGUGAGUAACGCGUAGGUAACCUGCCUGGUAGCGGGGGAUAACUAUUGGAAACGAUAGCUAAUACCGCAUAAUAUUGACUAUUGCAUGAUAGUCAGUUGAAAGGUGCAACUGCACCACUACCAGAUGGACCUGCGUUGUCUUAGCUAGUUGGUGGGGUAACGGCUCACCAAGGCGACGAUACAUAGCCGACCUGAGAGGGUGAUCGGCCACACUGGGACUGAGACACGGCCCAGACUCCUACGGGAGGCAGCAGUAGGGAAUCUUCGGCAAGAGACGGAAGUCUGACCGAGCAACGCCGCGGGAGUGAAGAAGGUUUUCGGAUCGUAAAGCUCUGUUGUAAGAGAAGAACGAGUGUGAGAGUGGAAAGCUCACACUGUGACGGUAGCUUACCAGAAAGGGACGGCUAACUACGUG
rnacentral:rRNA from 1 species